GGAUCCUGGGGACAGAUCCUGCAGGAGGUGCUCCUGGGUGGGGUGUUGUUGGCAUAGGACAGUUCUAAUGUGUGUGUGCUGCAAGAGGGUAUCUCCCCAAGGAUGGUGCUGCGCAGAACUAUUAGGUUACUCCAUCACCUCUGUGCUUGUUAAAUAAGAGGAAAAAUCUGUGGGCAUGCAGUGAAGGUCAAUCUUGUGGUUUCUGAAAACAUUUAAUUAGUACAGUUAAGUGCUGAGGUCUGCCUGGGAGUGCGCUGCUGCAUCAACAGCUCUGAGCAGGGAGAAGGAAUCCUACAUCAGGAGUGCAGGAGGAGCUGCAUCACUGUGCCCAAGCUCAAGGUGUGGCUCAGCUUAUGGGAAACCUGCUGCAGUGUCCCUUAAUUGGCCUUAACUUACUGAUGCUAUGAUUUUACAUCACA